UUUUUAUAUUUUUUUUAUAAGUAAAAUUUGCUCCAUGAAAAUAAAUAGCCGCAGAAUUUUAACUUGCUAAGGGUAGCAUAAUCAUUUACCUUUUAAUUAAAGGUUUGUAUGAAUGAUUCAACAUUUAAAUUACUUUUUACUAAAAUUCAUCUAAAUUAAACUAAUCAUUAAAAUGUGUUUAUAAAAAAAAAAGACGACAAGACCCUACUGAACUUCACUUAUGUUAAGCUGGGGAAGCUAAUUAAAUAUAAUUUUAAUUUUAAUUAAUACAAUUUUUUCUGAAAUAUUCAAUUUUAAACAAGUUACCAUAGGGAUAACAGCGUAAUAAUUUUUUAAAGCUCUUAUUAAAAAAAAAGGUUACGACCUCGAUGUUGAAUUAGAAUUACUUUAAACCGCAAUAGUGCUAAAAGUAGGUCUGUUCGACCUUUAAUUUUCUACA
rnacentral:rRNA from 1 species